rnacentral:rRNA from 1 species
GUAAUUCGCCCUUCCAGACUCCUACGGGAGGCAGCAGUGGGGAAUAUUGGACAAUGGACCAAGAGUCUGAUCCAGCAAUUCUGUGUGCACGAUGAAGUUUUUCGGAAUGUAAAGUGCUUUCAGUUGGGAAGAAAAAAAUGACGGUACCAACAGAAGAAGUGACGGCUAAAUACGUGCCAGCAGCCGCGGUAAUACGUAUGUCACAAGCGUUAUCCGGAUUUAUUGGGCGUAAAGCGCGUCUAGGUGGUUAUGUAAGUCUGAUGUGAAAAUGCAGGGCUCAACUCUGUAUUGCGUUGGAAACUGUGUAACUAGAGUACUGGAGAGGUAAGCGGAACUACAAGUGUAGAGGUGAAAUUCGUAGAUAUUUGUAGGAAUGCCGAUGGGGAAGCCAGCUUACUGGACAGAUACUGACGCUGAAGCGCGAAAGCGUGGGUAGCAAACAGGAUUAGAUACCCUGGUAGUCCACGCCGUAAACGAUGAUUACUAGGUGUUGGGGGUCGAACCUCAGCGCCCAAGCAAACGCGAUAAGUAAUCCGCCUGGGGAGUACGUACGCAAGUAUGAAACUCAAAGGAAUUGACGGGGGCCCGCACAAG